rnacentral:lncRNA from 1 species
GAAUAGGAAAGACGGGAGGGAAAGCACGGGAAGCGGCGGAGGAUGGAGGGCAAAGGAGAGGAGCGGAGUAAGAGAAGAGAGCGCGUCAACAGGCGGCACGGCUCCACCGCCUUCUUCAUGGCGGUGGAUUACCUCUUCCUCCUCGUCUUCUUCUGCUUCCUCUGCUACUUCCUCCACAAGAUCUGGCCCGGAUCGAAGCCCUAACUGACUCCGAACGAUCCGCGUUUUGUUGACCCCGAGAGCCGGUCUCUUCUAUUCAUUCUAACCUCGGUAAUCUUCGGUUCUCGCUCUUUUUCUUCUCGUUGUGAUCUUUAAUGGUUUCUUUCUGUCGACGAUAUAGUGUCCCGAAUGUUGUUGUUUCAAGUUGCAAUGUGUAGCAUGACGACUAUCAGAGAAGCUGUUCGAAAAAUUAUUUUCCGUUCUCUUCGCCCUUGUUGAAGCUAUUGUUCUUUUUGAGAUCUGAGAGCGAGUUUUUACAGAUCAGAAGAGUACAUUGUAAGAUUUUUGUUGCUAAAGAUUGCUUGGAUGCAUUGUUUCGUAUUGCUGUAAAUUUCUUCGUGCUGCGACUGUUUGGUCAACAAAUUUUGAUGUUGAUUCUUCAUCCAUCUUUGGAACGAUCUGAGAAUGACAGGGUGAAGUUGAUUGAGGAUCCAUGUGAGUCUGUAUUGGUCAUCUUAAUGUUAUUGAUCAUAAACCUAAUUUUGGCCCCCAGUCAAAUUUUAUUAAAUUAAGACAGAAAUUAAGUGAUUUUUUGAUCUAGUGCGAGAAAAAUAUAAACAUCAACGAUAGCAUUAAAUCCAGUUAUUCGAGAUGUCGCCGCUGGGCGAAUUAAGAAUCUAGGGCUCUAUACCUACAUAAGAUUUGAAUUUAUGAUGUUCUGAUCUGGUUGAUCUUUUUUCAUUUAUUAUUGUAGGAUCUACUCUCAAGGAUCCUUGACACCUGACUAGGCACAUCCAUUAUAGACUUUGCAGUGAUGGAAGCCUCAUACAAUGGAUUGCCCAAUUUGGCUUGAGUUAAAAUGGUGUUAGGGAUACUUUGUUGAGAUCUCUUCUUGUGGGGAAUACUGCAUUGUUGAUCCUCAUCGGACUAAUUGUGUGGGAAGCUUGUGGACCGGACUGCUUAUGCCCACUAAGGAUAUAAUAGGGUAUAGAGACAAAUUGUUGUGAUUUGUAUUUGGGCAUUAAUUUCUUACUUCACAUGGAAAAGAAAAGAAUAGAUCUUAGGAUACUAAGGGUUUAAAAUUCGUGUCAUGUCAAUGACUAUAUUAAGUUUGACUAUAAGUAACGAAGAAUAAGGCUAUGUUUGAGGAAAUAUUGUAGCUGAGGAUUUUUCAAUUGUGCUAAAUGAAAUCGUGGACUAAAUUAUUCUUUUAUCUGUGAUUGGUUUAUUUUUUUUAUGCAAUCUGUGGUUGGUAUAUAGAUAAAUUGUUGUGAUUUGCAUUUGGGCACUAAUUUUUUACUUCACAUGGAAAAGAAAAGAAUAAAUCUUAGGAUACUAAGGCUUGAAAAUUCAUGUCAUAUCAAUGACUAUAUUAAGUUUGACUAUAAGUAACAAAGAAUAAGGCUAUGUUUCAGGAAAUAUUGUAGCCAAGGAUUUUUCAAUUGCGCUAAAUGAAAUCAUGGACUAAAUUAUUCUUUUAUCUGUGAUUGGUUUAUUUUCUUGAUGCAAUCUGUGGUUGGUAUAGAGAUAAAUUGUUGUGAUCUGCAUUUGAGCACUAAUUCCUUACUUCACAUGGAAAAGAAAAGAAUAAAUAUUAGGAUACGAAGGCUUGAAAAUUGAUUGGCAUAUCAAUAACUAUAUUAAGUUUGACUAUAGGUAAAAAAGAACAAGGCUAUGUUCAAGGAAUAUUGUUGCUGAGGAUUUUUCAAUUGUGUUAAACGAAAUUAUGGACUAAAUUAUUCUGCAAUCUGUGGUUGGUUUAUUUUCUUGAUGAAUUAUGAAUACUUAACCUUUAGAUGAUUCCUUAUAUGAUCCAACAGGGAAAUAAGAGAAAGAUAAUGGCUGCCUGUCUUUUUCUGUCAUGAUUAGCAAUUGUGUUCUGUUAUAAAAUAAGUUAUGUAUGGUGAAAAAUUGAGCUUUAACCAAAGUGAAAAGCUGGAGCUCAUAUGUGGACAGAUUAGUUCUUGGCAAAUGAAACACUAGUAAGUGAGAAACGCCACUUGCCAGAUUUGUUGUUUGAAAAGAAGAAUUCCGAAACUUGAAAGGGGCAGGACAUCAGAACCGAUAGAUAUCAGUGUCAUCAGCAACAUAGUUGAGUCUGCAAACACCCAUCACCAUUCUUACCUUUAAGACAUGAGUGUUGAGAAGGUUUCCGAUGAGGAUGAUAUGUUUCUUUUGACAAUUUAAGUGUUGAUAUUGCUUUGGUUUUUUAUGUUCAAUUUUUGUAAGACCCUUUUUAUUGGAGUUUUUUUUUUUCUAUUCAUGGUAGCUUUUGUUGGCACCAUUUGCAAAAUGCUCAAAUAUCAAUGUGAGAUUUUGAUAAAUGUAGUCACAAUAGUUAUCAAGAU